rnacentral:tRNA from 1 species
AUAUCCAUAGCUCAGUCGGUAGAGCGACGGACUGUUAAUCCGCAGGUCCCUGGUUCGAGCCCAGGUGGGAGAGCCA